rnacentral:rRNA from 1 species
AGUGAAGCGGCAACAGCUCAAAUUUGAAAGCUGGCUUAGGCCCGCAUUGUAAUUUGCAGAGGAUGCUUCUGGCAAGGUGCCUUCCGAGUUCCCUGGAACGGGACGCCAUAGAGGGUGAGAGCCCCGUAUGGAUGGAUACCAAGCCUGUGUGAAGCUCCUUCAACGAGUCGAGUAGUUUGGGAAUGCUGCUCAAAAUGGGAGGUAAAUCUCUUCUAAAGCUAAAUAUUGGCCAGAGACCGAUAGCGCACAAGUAGAGUGAUCGAAAGAUGAAAAGCACCUUGAAAAGGGGGUUAAACAGUACGUGAAAUUGUUGAAAGGGAAGCGCUUGUGACCAGACUUGUGCCGGGCGGUUCAUCAGGGGUUCUCCCCUGUGCACUCCGCCCGGCUCAGGCCAGCAUCGGUUCUCGUGGGGGGAUAAGAACGGUAGGAACGUGGCCCUCCUUCGGGGGGGUGUUAUAGCCUACCGUACGAUACCCUCGUGGGGACCGAGGUUCGCGCUCCGCAAGGAUGCUGGCGUAAUGGUCAUCAGCGACCCGUCUUGAAACACGGACCAAGGAGUCGUCCAUUAGAGCGAGCGUUUGGGUGUAAAACCCGCACGCGUAAUGAAAGUGAACGCAGGUGAGAGCUUCGGCGCAUCAUCGACCGAUCCUGAUGUCUUCGGAUGGAUUUGAGUAAGAGUUUUAACGGACGGACCCGAAAGACAGUGAACUAUGCUUGUAUAGGGUGAAGCCAGAGGAAACUCUGGUGGAGGCUCGCAGCGGUUCUGACGUGCAAAUCGAUCGUCAAAUAUGAGCAUGGGGGCGAAAGACUAAUCGAACUGUCUAGUAGCUGGUUACC